GUAGUCUCGCACAGAUGCAUAUCAAUAAGCGGAGGAAAAGAAACUAACAAGGAUUCCCCUAGUAACGGCGAGUGAAGCGGGAAGAGCUCAAAUUUGAAAUCUUAAAGAGUUUCCCUUUACGAAUUGUAGUUUAAAGAAGUGUUUUCUGUUGAGGUUUUGGUAAAAGUUCUUUGGAAUAGGACAUCAUAGAGGGUGAGAAUCCCGUAUUUGACCUUUACUUUCAACUUUGUGAUACACUUUCAAAGAGUCGGAUUGUUUGGGAAUGCAGUCCAAAAUGGGUGGUAAAUUUCAUCUAAAGCUAAAUAUUGGCGAGAGACCGAUAGCGAACAAGUACCGUGAGGGAAAGAUGAAAAGAACUUUGAAAAGAGAGUUAAACAGUACGUGAAAUUGUCAAAAGGGAAGCGUUUGACACCAGUGUUGUUUUUCUGAAAAUCAAUUAAAGAACUGUUUAUGCUAAGCUGUUUAGACUUUAUCAGCUAUCUGUUUAGUUUUGAGCUUUUCUUUAAUGCACUUUUCAGUUAACAAGUCAACAUCAAUUUCUUUUGCUGUAAAAAAGCUUGAGGAAGGUGGCUUGAGAUUCGUCUUAAGUGUUUAUAGCCUCUUGCCUAUGCAGUCGGAGAGAUUGAGGUCUGCAGCGUAGAUCCUUCGGGGCUAAAUGCAUUUGUGCUAAGUUAUAGCAUUUUAUAGACAACUUGUUGACUAUGAUUUGUCUUGUAGCUUACUCGCUUAUGUUAUUUUACCUACGCUUAGGAUGUUGACGCAUGAGAUAUACGC
rnacentral:rRNA from 1 species